CAAACUACACACUCGCUACCGCCUCUCCAGUAACGCAAUCCCGAGGACAGUUAUUUCUAACUGGCCAAUAUUUAUAAGAAAAUACACACAUUUGCCCUAAUGCGUUAUUCAAAGGACAAAGUUUAAUAAACAUCCGCUGCUGUUGUUGAUUACUGCUCGUCACUUGUGGCGCGUGAGCGGUGGGAUCUUAUCAAAGCUUGAUGAGCGCGAGAGGUGAAGGGCGGGACUGGACAUCACAGCCCAGGUUGCCAGGUGAGCAUCUUUUACAGAGGACUGUUCUUACCUGCUGAUAAGAAGUCGUGUAAACCAUCACAUUUUGUUGCUGUCCGUCAGCUGUUAUAAUCC